rnacentral:lncRNA from 1 species
AUACUAUAAAUUUUUGAUCCAAAAUGAUGAUCCUAUCGAACUUGAUGAGAACGAUGACGACCUGAUCACCUAUAUAGAAGUCAUGUAAUGAUCCGACUCCCAAAAAUGGCUUGAAGCCAUGAAGUCUGAGAUGGAAUCCAUGGAGAUCAAUAGUGUAUGGAUACUAGUUGAUCUGUUUGAAGAGAUAAAAUCUAUAGGGUGUAAAUUGAUUUUUAAGAGAAAAAGAGAAGCAAACGAAA